AUGGGCAAGGAGAAGACUCACAUCAACAUCGUGGUCAUUGGCCAUGUCGACUCUGGCAAGUCGACCACCACUGGCCAUCUGAUCUACAAGCUUGGAGGUAUUGACAAGCGUGUGAUCGAGAGGUUUGAGAAGGAAGCCGCUGAGAUGAACAAGAGGUCUUUCAAGUACGCCUGGGUGCUUGACAAGCUGAAGGCCGAGCGUGAGAGGGGUAUCACCAUUGAUAUUGCCCUGUGGAAGUUCGAGACCACCAAGUACUACUGCACCGUCAUUGACGCCCCUGGUCACCGUGACUUCAUCAAGAACAUGAUUACUGGUACCUCCCAGGCUGAUUGUGCUGUGCUCAUCAUUGACUCUACCACUGGUGGUUUUGAGGCUGGUAUCUCCAAGGAUGGCCAGACCCGUGAGCACGCCCUCCUUGCUUUCACUCUUGGAGUGAAGCAGAUGAUCUGCUGCUGCAACAAGAUGGACGCCACCACUCCCAAGUACUCAAAGGCCCGUUACGAGGAAAUUGUCAAGGAAGUCUCAUCGUACCUGAAGAAGGUUGGCUACAACCCUGAGAAGGUUCCCUUUGUUCCCAUCUCUGGGUUUGAGGGUGACAACAUGAUUGAGAGGUCCACCAACCUUGACUGGUACAAGGGCCCUACCCUUCUUGAGGCUCUUGACCAGAUCAAUGAGCCCAAGAGGCCCUCAGACAAGCCCCUGCGUCUUCCCCUUCAGGAUGUUUACAAGAUUGGUGGCAUUGGAACUGUGCCUGUUGGACGCGUUGAGACUGGUGUCAUCAAGCCUGGUAUGGUUGUUACCUUUGGCCCCACUGGUCUGACAACUGAGGUCAAGUCUGUUGAGAUGCACCACGAGUCCCUCCUGGAGGCGCUUCCUGGUGACAAUGUCGGCUUCAACGUGAAGAACGUUGCUGUCAAGGAUCUGAAGCGUGGGUUUGUUGCAUCCAACUCCAAGGAUGACCCUGCCAAGGAGGCAGCCAACUUCACCUCUCAGGUCAUCAUCAUGAACCACCCUGGUCAGAUCGGCAACGGCUACGCCCCAGUGCUGGACUGCCACACCUCCCACAUUGCUGUCAAGUUUGCUGAGCUGGUGACCAAGAUUGACAGGCGAUCUGGUAAGGAGAUUGAGGCUGCGCCCAAGUUCCUGAAGAACGGUGACGCUGGUAUCGUGAAGAUGAUUCCCACCAAGCCCAUGGUUGUGGAGACCUUUGCCACCUACCCUCCUCUUGGCCGCUUCGCUGUGCGUGACAUGAGACAAACGGUUGCUGUUGGUGUCAUCAAGGGUGUGGAGAAGAAGGACCCCACCGGCGCCAAGGUUACCAAGGCUGCCAUCAAGAAGAAAUAG
rnacentral:rRNA from 1 species